rnacentral:rRNA from 1 species
GCCCUUAGAUGUGUGGGGCCGCACGCGCGCUACAAUGGCAGUAGUAACAAGUUUUCCUAAUUAGAAAUAGUCGGGUAAUCUCUUGAAACACUGUGGUAUCGGGGAUUGUGAAUUGAAAUUAUUUCACAUGAACGAGGAAUUCUUAGUAAGCGCAAGUCACUAGCUUGCGCUGAUUACGUCCCUGCCCUUUGUACACACCGCCCGUCGCUACUACCGAUUGAAUGGUUUAGUGAGAUUGUUGGAUUCUGAUCUAAGAAAUGGCAACAUUUCUAUGAAUGGGAAAAGACACUCAAACUUGAUCAUUUAGAGGAAGUAAAAGUCGUAACAAGGUUUCCGUAGGUGAACCUGCGGAAGGAUCAUUAUUAGUUCUCAAUGUAUUCACGAUCGAUUAUAUAUGUCAUGAUAUGAUGUAUUAAUAAUAUAAUAGUUUACUAUUAUUAAAACUCAAUCUAGUUAUUAGUAUUUGAUUCAGAUAUAACUAAUUGUUUCACACAUUGUCUUGUGGGUGCCUAUGAUUUACGAAUAGCAAUAUUUGUAUUUCCCGUACAACGCGUGCACUUGUGUACGUGCCGGAUAGUUCGCUAUCUGUGAUUGAUCUUUAAUUAGUCAAAGCGAGAUCAAUAUUGUGCUAGGUUUAAAUAUUCAAGUACUUUUAUAUUCAUAUACGCUUCAGUCUCAAUUACGAAAGCUUUGUUUGUAAUUGUGUAAAUGCACUGUUGUUGGCUAAAAUAUGUUUAUAGAGUGGAACGAAAGCCCUUAGAUAAAAACGUUAUUAUUUACUUUACAUAUUACUCACUAGUAAUAUUGAUCCUCGAUUUAACAAUUGAGUCGAUCUAAAUUAUAUAUGGAUCGCUAUUACGGCAUCUGUAUCUGUAUCUUUUUUUUUUUUUUAUAAUUUUCAUAAAUUUAUAAAUUUAUAAAUUUAUAAAUUUAUAAAUUUAUAAAUUUAUAAAUUUAUAAUUUUCAUUUUGAAAGUUAUUUUUAAAUUUUAAAAUAAUUUCACUGUUAAUUAGUUCAGAAUAAUUAUCAAUUAGUUUUUUAAGAGCACUUUCAGUAAUAUUUUCAGGGAUUAUUGAGGUUUCUGUAUGAGGAGUAUUAUAUGUAUUAUCCAUCAGUAGAGAUUUCUUCUGCAUAUAUUUUAUUGGAAGAUAAUUGUUCUCGAUUGUUUUCUGAUCAUCUGUUUUUAAUGACAGUUUGGAGCUGAUAAUUUCAAAGAGAUCAUUUGUUAAUUUCUUCAAAUUUCCAAGAUAUUUUUCUUUUUUCUUUACAAUAUUAUUUUUUAAAGAUUUUUUCGGUUUAAAUUCAUCGUUUGUUUUUAGAAUAAUUUCACUUUUUUCCAUUUUUAAAUCUGAAUUAUUUUUAAAAAUAUAUUCAUUUUUGACUGUGUUUUUUGAUUUAAUAUCUCCAUUUAUUUUUAAAUCCAUUUCAUUUUUCCCAUUAGUUAUUAUUGAUUUUUUGAAAUUUUCAAUAAAAAUACUUUUUUCUUUAGGAUUUUCUUCAUGUUUUGAAUUUUUAAAAUUCAUGGAGUAGAGUUUACUAUUCUUCACUUUUAGUAAGAAUAUUUUAAAUAUCAAAUUGUUUGGUUCUAGAGUUUCCAACUUUUUAUAAUAUUUUUCAUAUUUGUAGAAACAGUUUCUCAAGGUUGUGAAAUUAUCAUUGUUACGCAAGUGUUCUUCGAUUUUAAAUUUCUUUAUCCAGUUUUCAUUCUUUGUUUUAGUGUUCGUUUCCAGGUUGUCUUCAGAGAUUGAGUCGGAUCCAGAUUCAGAAUUAGAAGAAUUCUUAGAUUCAAAACUGUUAGCUGGCAAUUUCUGCCCGGUGCUAUCGAAUGUCAAUGUGAAGAAAUUCAACUAAGCUCUGGUUAACGGCGGGAGUAACUAUGACUCUCUUAAGGUAGCCAAAUGCCUCGUCAUCUAAUUAGUGACGUGCAUGAAUGGAUUAACGAGAUUCCUACUGUCCCUAUCUACUAUCUAGCGAAACUACAGCCAAGGGAACGGGCUUGGAAAAUAUAGCGGGGAAAGAAGACCCUGUUGAGCUUGACUCUAGUCCGACUUUGUAGGAGAACUUUAGAGGUGUAGCAUAAGUGGGAGACUUCGGUCGACAGUGAAAUACCACUACUCUGAUUGUUUUUCUACUUACUCAAUGAAGCAGUAUAAUUAACUUUUGUUAAUUUUUUUUAGUGAAAAAAUUGCGAUCUUCGGAUGCAAUUGAACUGUUUUGAGGACAGUGUCAGGUGGGGAGUUUGACUGGGGCGGUACAUCUGUCAAAUGGUAACGCAGAUGUCCCAAGGGAAGCUCAACUAGGACAGAAACCUGGUGUUGACUAAAAGGGGAAAAGCUUCCUUGAUCUUGAUUUUCAGUACGAAUACAGACCGUGAAAGCGCGGCCUAUCGAUCCUUUUGAUUUUUACAGAGUUUGUAGCAAGAGGUGUCAGAAAAGUUACCACAGGGAUAACUGGCUUGUGGCGGCCAAGCGUUCAUAGCGACGUCGCUUUUUGAUCCUUCGAUGUCG